UACGUAGGGGGCAAGCGUUGUCCGGAUUUAUUGGGCGUAAAGAGCUCGUAGGCGGUUUGGUAAGUCUGGUGUGAAAUCUCCACGCUCAACGUGGAGGGGCCACCCGAUACUGCCAUGACUGGAGUCCGGUAGAGGAGUGUGGAAUUCCCGGUGUAGCGGUGAAAUGCGCAGAUAUCAGGAGGAACACCGGUGGCGAAGGCGGGUCUCUGGGCAGUAACUGACGCUGAGGAGCGGAAAGCAUGGGGAGCGAACAGG
rnacentral:rRNA from 1 species